GGCAACUUGUGAUGAUUAAAAAAGCUUCAAGCGAAUUAACUUUGAUUAAUUUGUAUUAAAUUAUACUUGGCUGCC
rnacentral:sRNA from 1 species